AAAAAGCGGCGACGGCGGGGCGCGAACCGGCGACCGCGGCUCCCACGCGGCGACGGAGCUAGCCUAAAAGGCGCGGCUCCGAAACCGCGCACGACACGGCGAAAAAGGGCGACUCUCCAGAAAUUCCGAACAGACGGACACGCGGACGCCCCCCGCAGCCUAAGGUCUCCGUCCCGACGACGGAACGACUAAACGUCGUCCGUCUAACGUCGGGACUACGACGAUACAUAAAAGUGAGCACAAGGAUGGGGACCACCCCUGGGAGCCAAGGGGGCCCAUGGAUGGUCAGAAGCCAUUACGGUGGUGCUCAGCAUGGAUCUUGAGAUCCUCUAGAGGAUCUCCCGCUCCCCUGGGCUCAAUGCGCCUGCGUGUGAUGUACCCAGUCUGUGAUGUCCAAGACCUCCUCGAGAAAACAAUUGCAAGCCGCUGCAAUAGGUCGGCGACAUACACAUACACAUGGUAUGUGCAUGUCCAAAUGUUUGUGCAUGUACAUGCACCUAGACACAUGUGUUUAUGUGUGUGUGUGUGUGUGUGUGCGUGUGUGUGUGUGUGUGUGUCUGCUGGAUACAUGUAUUCUAAUCCAACGAGUGUAUGGUGCUCCCUACAAAUCUCUUAAUCAUGGAGCUAUGGAUUUGGUGCUAGCACCUUUGAAUGCAAGCUGUUGUAUCCACCUCCACUGUUUAGGUGGUAGUGAAAACUACCGAUGAGUGAAUGAGAAGAGGCUAAAUGCCUCUGCGUUAGGAUGACCCGUACAGAAGUCUGCCCUAUGGCAGUCCGGAGACGUGUAACUCGUCAGGCUCGGUAGCUACGGGGCAGUUGUCUGGACAGGUUACUCGCCAGCUAGAAGCUUGAUAAAUGUGCAACCUUGAAAGUGUCAUAAUUAGGCACAGAUAUGCACGCUGAGUGUGUGAAAUGUUAUGACGAGGUUAGUUAACAUGUUUGCCAUCAAAUAUGAGUGUAGGGAGGCAUUAUUUGUCCUUACGAUUUGCUCUCUACCUACGGCCAUUUGGCAGUCCAGAGACGUGUAGCGCCCAAGGCUCAGCAGCUACAGGACGGUUGUCUGGACGAGGUUACUUUUGACGUGCAGCCCCGAAAGCACAUUGGAAAGCAUGAAUAUAGCCGGUGAACUUAUCAUAAGUGAAAUUUAGGUUACUUAGGGUGUUUGCCACUUGUUUUGGUGCUCCGAUGUAACAUGACCAUUGGUAGUCAUGGUCAUGGCCCAAAGGAACGCCGAUUGUUCCAGCACAAAGUAGAAUAUA
rnacentral:lncRNA from 1 species